rnacentral:rRNA from 1 species
CCUACGGGUGGCAGCAGUGAGGAAUAUUGGUCAAUGGACGCGAGUCUGAACCAGCCAAGUAGCGUGAAGGAUGACUGCCCUAUGGGUUGUAAACUUCUUUUAUAUGGGAAUAAAAUGUUCCACGUGUGGGAUUUUGUAUGUACCAUAUGAAUAAGGAUCGGCUAACUCCGUGCCAGCAGCCGCGGUAAUACGGAGGAUCCGAGCGUUAUCCGGAUUUAUUGGGUUUAAAGGGAGCGUAGGUGGGUUGUUAAGUCAGUUGUGAAAGUUUGCGGCUCAACCGUAAAAUUGCAGUUGAAACUGGCAGUCUUGAGUACAGUAGAGGUGGGCGGAAUUCGUGGUGUAGCGGUGAAAUGCUUAGAUAUCACGAAGAACUCCGAUUGCGAAGGCAGUUCACUAGACUGCAACUGACACUGAGGCUCGAAAGUGUGGGUAUCAAACAGGAUUAGAUACCCGUGUAGUC